AGUGAACGCUGGCGGCGUGCCUAAUACAUGCAAGUCGAACGAAGUGGCGCACGGGUGAGUAAUAUAUAGUUAAUCUGCCCUGCACAGGGGAACAACCGUCGGAAACGACUGCUAAUACCCCAUAGUGUAGGAUGAGACUAUAUCGUAUCAGCUAGUUGGGAAGGUAAUGGCUUACCAAGGCGAUGACGCGUAACUGGUCUGAGAGGAUGAUCAGUCACAUCGGAACUGAGGCACGGUCCAGACUCCUACCGGAAGCAGCAGUAAGGUGUUAUGCCCAAUGGGGGAAUCCGAGGCGCAGCAACGCGGCGUAAAGGAUGUCACGUUGCGGAGCAUAAGCUCCUGUUAUCAGCAAAGCGUUACCUGAAGAAGAAGCACCGGCUAACUCCGUGCCAGCAGCCGCGGUAAUAC
rnacentral:rRNA from 1 species